ensembl:lncRNA
ACUCGGAGAUUGACUAAUUUACACAUUGUGGGAAAAUUGCUACCAGCUCUGCCCACACCCAGCAGGAGGAGAGACGCCCUCUCUCUUUGAAAGGUGGGAACUGCAAUCGGGCACUUUAAUGGUAGCGAAAGACCCAACCCUGGCCCUAACUUUUGGAGCUGGCUGAAGCGUUUGUGCACUCACCCGGAAUGCCUGCCAGGCUCUUCUGUCCUCCGGAUUCUCCAGGCAAGAAUACUGGAGUGGGUUGCCAUGCCCUCCUCCAGGGGAUCUUCCUGACUCAGGGGUAGAGCCCAGGCUCCUGCAGCUUCUGCACUGCAGGCGGAUUCUUCACUGCUGAGCCACCAGAGAAGCCCCACUGUGUGAGAAUAGCUCUCAGCCAGCAAAGGAACUCGUGUGUCAUCAGAGGCGAACCUCAGCAUGGCUCUGCCCCGGAUGUGCUGAGCAACACUGACCACACUGCCAGCCCUCUCUGGUCAGCAGAGACUUCCGCAGGGAUAAGCCCUGUGAUGUCCCUGGAACCUCUCUCCAGCCUGAUACACUGGGGUCCUCCCAAUGCACUGGGGUCCUCCCACCUGUCGCUACUCACAGGGUGGUCCAGGGACCUUAGCCUCACUAGGACCUUGUGAGAUAUGCAGUUUCUCAGCACCCCUCCCCGGUCUCCUGAACAGGCACGAUCACGGUGGUCUGGGAACACGUACAGUCGAAGGCCACUGCUCUAACCCUUCCUUUGGCGCAGGAAGACCCCAGUGACUGUUGUUUCACCCAAGGGGUCCAGCCUCCUGAUUCUGGCCUGGAAAAGUCAUAAUUUGGGGACCGACAACCUGGCUUCUCGCCUACCAUCUGACUGGGAUCCAGUCUCUUCACGUCAGCAUCUUGCCACUUUCACUCUCUGGGGUCAUCUGGGAACCUCAGCGAAUGGAAGGAACCUCCACAUCACUAACUGAGUUCCUACUGUGUGCCUGACACCCUGCCAAUCACAUCACAGCAUCAGGAGUGGAAAUCACAAUGGAGACAAAAUAAACAAAUCGCAGGGGACAGAGAGUGUCCUGGUGCAGACGCUUUCUAGAGAUGAUGCUUUCAGUGCGCGCUUCCCAGCAGCUCUGUGAAGCCCUUGCCUCGUGGAGGAUGGAUGAAGCCUGCCUUCCACUUCAUGCUUUGCCCAGCAUUGACUCUCAGGCUUGGUUUUGACAGUCAGGACUCCUCCCACCGCCCUUUGCUGCAGCAUCCCAGCCAGCAUGCAGAUUCCCAGGGAUCUUUGUCGGUGGUGAUCUCUCUGCCAACGGUGCCUUCUCUUCCUUUCACCCUUCCCAUCCUAUCUCUGCCCCAUCCACACAUCUAUUUUAAAAAAUUUAGAUGUGUUGCAUCUGCCAGGGUUCUUUGGAGGGGAGGAUCUGCAAGAUGCCGCUCUAGGGGCAACGUGUCUCAAGCCUCUUCUCCUGGCUGCUAACACCACGGGUCGCAUGGGAAACACUAAUCCAGACCAACUGGGUCCUGUAAUGGGAGAAACUGAGGCCCAGCAAGAGGAAAUUCUCAGCCACAGUCUGUCCUCAUCUAGAGCUUGAGUCUCCUGUUGAGCUCACAGAGGGUCAAUGU